AACGCACAUUGCGCCCUGUGGUAUUCCGCAGGGCAUGCCUGUUCGAGCGUCAUUUCAACCCUCAAGCUCCGCUUGGUGUUGGGCCCUGCCCCCGCGGCCGGCCCCAAAGACAGUGGCGGCGCCGCUCGGCCCUAAGCGUAGUACAUCUCUCGCUCUAGGACCCGGCGGUGGCCUGCCAGAACCCCAAACUCAUGUGGUUGACCUCGGAUCAGGUAGGGAUACCCGCUGAACUUAA
rnacentral:misc_RNA from 2 species